rnacentral:rRNA from 1 species
GACGAACGCUGGCGGCGUGCCUAAUACAUGCAAGUAGGACGCAGUUGCGAACGGGUGAGUAACGCGUAUGUAACUACCUCUUAGUGGGGGAUAACUAUUGGAAACGAUAGCUAAUACCGCCUACUAGUAGAUGGACCUGCGUUGUAUUAGCUAGUAGGUAGGGUAAUGGACUAACUAGGCAACGAUACAUAGCCGACCUGAGAGGGUGAACGGCCAAACGGGGAAUGAGGAACGGCCCAGACUCCUACGGGAGGCAGCAGUAGGGAAUCUUCGGAAAUGGGGGGAACCCUGAACGAGCAACGCCGCGUGAGAGAAGAAGGUUUUCGGAUCGUAAAGCUCUGUUGUUAAGGAAGCGGUACUUAACCAGAAAGGGACGGCUAACUACGUGCCAGCAGCCGCGGUAAUAC